rnacentral:lncRNA from 1 species
GACAAGUUUCUGGAGUUGGUUCUCUGGGUCAAACUCAAGUUGUCAGGCUUGUGCUGGUGGCUUUUCCCACAGACUCAUUCUGCUGGCUAAAUUUGUUUGUUUGUUUUGUUUUCCCCAAAUGUUCUUGCAGUGUUUGCCUAUUGUGAAUUGACAAGGAGCACAUGCCCUUUUAUUCGCAGUAAGAAAGAAACUUUAGGGUCAAGGACACAACUUAUGGGAAAAGGCUUUGGCCAUACAGGUCUCAACAGUCUGAAUUUGAUCCUGGAACCCACCUUAAGCUGGAUCCUGGUUUAAGCACCUUGUAAUCCUAUUAUUCUAUGGGAAGUCGAGGCAGGAGGAUUGUUCGGAAGCUCGGGGGACACAGCUAGCCUGGGGUUCUUGGCACAGGAACAUCGAUGAGAGUUGAAGACUCAGCAAGGUGGAAGCCCACCACCCACCGGAACAAAGUGGGAAAGAAAGGAUACGAGUAAAGUGGACCU